rnacentral:rRNA from 1 species
CCCUGGCUCAGGAUGAACGCUGGCGGCGUGCCUAAUACAUGCAAGUCGAGCGAAUGGAUUAAGAGCUUGCUCUUAUGAAGUUAGCGGCGGACGGGUGAGUAACACGUGGGUAACCUACCCAUAAGACUGGGAUAACUCCGGGAAACCGGGGCUAAUACCGGAUAAUAUUUUGAACUGCAUAGUUCGAAAUUGAAAGGCGGCUUCGGCUGUCACUUAUGGAUGGACCCGCGUCGCAUUAGCUAGUUGGUGAGGUAACGGCUCACCAAGGCGACGAUGCGUAGCCGACCUGAGAGGGUGAUCGGCCACACUGGGACUGAGACACGGCCCAGACUCCUACGGGAGGCAGCAGUAGGGAAUCUUCCGCAAUGGACGAAAGUCUGACGGAGCAACGCCGCGUGAGUGAUGAAGGCUUUCGGGUCGUAAAACUCUGUUGUUAGGGAAGAACAAGUGCUAGUUGAAUAAGCUGGCACCUUGACGGUACCUAACCAGAAAGCCACGGC